rnacentral:lncRNA from 1 species
CUUUAUUAAAGAUCCACAUUGAUGGAUGUUUUGUCAGACCACUCUGAGGACAGAAUGCAUCCAAAAAGCUUCACUAACCCCUUGUUCUUCUGCUGGUAGGGCAGCGUCUGACCCCAGGUCUCGGGGGCUGCGUGGAGAUUCCUCCCUGGAGCAGGGUGACCCCGUGAGGAUGAGCCACAGAGGUUCAGUUCUUGGACCAGGACAGGAGAAAUCAUUAAACUCCUCCCAUCUUUGCCAGAAGCUUCAGUGUUUAAGCAGCCAGAGCCAAGAGGCUUCAGCACCAGGGGUGUGCCCUGGAGGGCUCCUGGUCCUGCCCACGCUGUGGGGUAAGUCAGAGGGACACAGGGUUCCCCUUUUCCUCCCUGCUGGAAUGAACUGCCUCGGGAAUGCCAUUUCUGACAGCCCGGCCCCAGCCCUGUGUGCCGGGAAAGGGCAGCAGGGAAGAGGCACAUAAAUGCCAGAGUUCCUUGGGGAUGGUGGAGCUGGGCUGUUUGGCUGUGCCCAGAGGGGCAGGCUGGGCACUGUUUGUGCCCCCCAGGGCUGCUCUGGGUUCGGGAGCCCGGGGAGCCGAGCUCCCGGCGCAUUCCCAGCUCUGCGGCUGCUGCAGGGCCGGGUGACAGCCUCUGCUGGGGCUGGGGCAGAGCUGCAGGGGCAGGGCUGGCAGGAGGUGGGAGCAGAGGAGGAAAAUGAGGAACGCUGCUGGGCAGGGCUCAGCCUGUGCUCGUGUCAGCGCAGCCGUGCCGGGCGCCGGGAUCUGGGCACAGCUCCAGCUCUCCUGGGGCUCGGGGCUGCAAGGCCAGAGGGACUGGGAUUAUCUGUGGCUUCCCAGGCCGCCAGGAACACGGGAAUGUGGUGCCAGAG